GAAAGUUAUCUGGCUUAGAUAUCGGUCACCCACUCAUCACCAGGGUUGGUUUGAUUUAUCUAGAUGCCUAGCCAAAUGUCCCCUUCCUCCCAUGUUCCUCCAGCUUCAUGUGUAUGUGUCCCUCCUGAAGCUGCACAAUCAGUUUAAAAGGCUACAUGACCUCAGCUAAAGGAGGACCAGCCUUUGAUUAAGGGGAGGACCAGCCUUUGAUUAAGGGUAUGAGUAGUUGUGCUCACCUACUAGAACUUCCAAGUAAGCCAUCAGGGAGUUUAUGCAACAAGUACGACACUGGUAAGUUCAGAGAUCUCUUUACUUCCUGACCAUCCUUUCACUGAUUCUCAAUUUUGUCUCA
rnacentral:snRNA from 1 species